GGGAGGUAGUGACAAUAAAUAACAAUACGGGGUUCUUUCGGAUCUCGUAAUUGGAAUGAGUACAAUUUAAAUCUCUUAACGAGGAACAAUUGGAGGGCAAGUCUGGUGCCAGCAGCCGCGGUAAUUCCAGCUCCAAUAGCGUAUAUUAAAGUUGUUGCAGUUAAAAAGCUCGUAGUUGAAUUUCGGGGUCAGCAAGUUGGUCGUGCCACUGGUAUGCACUGGCUUUGCUGAUUCCUCCUUCUUGUAGAACCGUAAUGCCAUUAAGUUGGUGUUGCGGGAAAACAGGACUGUUACUUUGAAAAAUUAGAGUGUUUAAAGCAGGCUAACGCUUGAAUACAUUAGCAUGGAAUAAUGAAAUAGGACGACGAUCCUAUUUUGUUGGUUUCUAGGAUUGACGUAAUGAUUAAUAGGGAUAGUUGGG
rnacentral:rRNA from 1 species